rnacentral:misc_RNA from 1 species
CAUGGACUGCAUCAAAGACCAGUAUUCUGAUAUGCAAGAAGAAGUUCAGAUAGCAUGUCCAGUUUGUCGAGGAACUUGUUGCUGUAAGGCCUGCUCAGCAAUUCAAUGUAGGGACAUUGAAUGUAANGGGCUUCUCCAAGGACAAGAGUAAAGUCAACAAAGUUUUACAUUUUCAUUAUUUGAUCUGUAUGCUUCUUCCUGUACUGAAACAACUAAAUCAAGAUCAAAGCAUUGAGCUAGAAAUAGAGGCAAAAAUAAAAGGCCAGA